rnacentral:lncRNA from 1 species
CCCCCCUGACCCCCAUUUUUUCCCCCCCCGUAGCCCUCGCUGGGCCCCGUCACCCUCCACGGCUCCCUCCUGCUCCAGCACCUCCUGCAUUUCGGGGACCCGGGGCCGGUUCUGGGGGGGUUGGAGGCUUUGCCCCCCCAGGCCCUGGUGGCCUUGGCUCGUAGCCCCCCAGGGAGCCGGGUCUGGGAUGCCCUCCUGGCCUCCCCCACCGUGCCCCCCCGCGCCCGCCGGCGCCUCCUCCGCAAGCUCAAGGGUCACUUCCUGUCCCUGGCCUGUCACCGCAACGGCAGCCGCGUCCUCGACGCCGUCUGGGCCUCGGCCUCCGCCCCGGCCCGCGCCGCCAUCGCCGAGGAGCUGGCCCCCCAGCACCAGGCCCUACGGAGAGACCCCCACGGCCGGGGGGUGGCCCGGACCAUGGACCUCGACCUCUUCUUGCGCCGGCGACGGGUUUGGGAGAGGCUGCAGGAGACCCAGGGGGGAAAACGUGGCCUCUUGGGACCCCUCCUGGGGGAUUGAGAGACGCCCCCCAACCUUCCCGGGCACAGGGGGGGCGCGAGGAGGGGAGCCCCUGGGGAGAGGCGCCCCUCUGGAGGACUUUAGGGCACAGAGAGGAGGGAUGGAGAGACAGAGCGGCUCCUUGGAGGGAUAGAAAACCAUCUUG